rnacentral:rRNA from 1 species
GACGAACGCUGGCGGCGUGCCUAAUACAUGCAAGUCGAGCGAAGCGGCGGAUGGGUGAGUAACGCGUGGGUAACCUGCCCUUAUGUCUGGGAUACCAUUUGGAACCAGAUGCCAAUACCGGAUACUAAAGGAUGGACCUGCGAUGCAUUAGCUAGUUGGUAAGGUAACGGCUUACCAAGGCGAGGAUGCAGAGCGGGGGUGAGAGAAUGAUCAGCCACAUUGGGACUGAGACACGGCCCAGACUCCUACGGGAGGCAGCAGUGGGGAAUCUUCCACAAUGGACGAAAGUCUGAUGGAGCAACGCCGCGUGAGUGAAGAAGGUUUUCGGGUCGUAAAGCACUGUUGUUGGGGAGGCGGUAAUCAAAGAGAAAGCCACGGCUAACUACGUGCCAGCAGCCGCGGUAAUAC